rnacentral:rRNA from 1 species
GGGGAGUGGCGUCGUGCUAUACUGCAAGUCGAACGCUUCUUUUCCCACCGGAGCUUGCUCCACCGGGAAAAGAGGAGUGGCGAACGGGUGAGUAACACGUGGGUAACCUGCCCAUCAGAAGGGGAUAACACUUGGAAACAGGUGCUAAUACCGUAUAACAAUCGAAACCGCAUGGUUUCGUUUUGAAAGGCGCUUUACGGUGCCGCUGAUGGAUGGACCCGCGGUGCAUUAGCUAGUUGGUGAGGUAACGGCUCACCAAGGCCACGAUGCAUAGCCGACCUGAGAGGGUGAUCGGCCACAUUGGGACUGAGACACGGCCCAAACUCCUACGGGAGGCAGCAGUAGGGAAUCUUCGGCAAUGGACGAAAGUCUGACCGAGCAACGCCGCGUGAGUGAAGAAGGUUUUCGGAUCGUAAAACUCUGUUGUUAGAGAAGAACAAGGGUGAGAGUAACUGUUCACCCCUUGACGGUAUCUAACCAGAAAGCCACGGCUAACUACGUGCCAGCAGCCGCGGUAAUACGUAGGUGGCAAGCGUUGUCCGGAUUUAUUGGGCGUAAAGCGAGCGCAGGCGGUUUCUUAAGUCUGAUGUGAAAGCCCCCGGCUCAACCGGGGAGGGUCAUUGGAAACUGGGAGACUUGAGUGCAGAAGAGGAGAGUGGAAUUCCAUGUGUAGCGGUGAAAUGCGUAGAUAUAUGGAGGAACACCAGUGGCGAAGGCGGCUCUCUGGUCUGUAACUGACGCUGAGGCUCGAAAGCGUGGGGAGCAAACAGGAUUAGAUACCCUGGUAGUCCACGCCGUAAACGAUGAGUGCUAAGUGUUGGAGGGUUUCCGCCCUUCAGUGCUGCAGCUAACGCAUUAAGCACUCCGCCUGGGGAGUACGACCGCAAGGUUGAAACUCAAAGGAAUUGACGGGGGCCCGCACAAGCGGUGGAGCAUGUGGUUUAAUUCGAAGCAACGCGAAGAACCUUACCAGGUCUUGACAUCCUUUGACCACUCUAGAGAUAGAGCUUCCCCUUCGGGGGCAAAGUGACAGGUGGUGCAUGGUUGUCGUCAGCUCGUGUCGUGAGAUGUUGGGUUAAGUCCCGCAACGAGCGCAACCCUUAUUGUUAGUUGCCAUCAUUUAGUUGGGCACUCUAGCAAGACUGCCGGUGACAAACCGGAGGAAGGUGGGGAUGACGUCAAAUCAUCAUGCCCCUUAUGACCUGGGCUACACACGUGCUACAAUGGGAAGUACAACGAGUCGCGAAGUCGCGAGGCUAAGCUAAUCUCUUAAAGCUUCUCUCAGUUCGGAUUGUAGGCUGCAACUCGCCUACAUGAAGCCGGAAUCGCUAGUAAUCGCGGAUCAGCACGCCGCGGUGAAUACGUUCCCGGGCCUUGUACACACCGCCCGUCACACCACGAGAGUUUGUAACACCCGAAGUCGGUGAGGUAACCUUUUGGAGCCAGCCGCCUAAGGUGGGAUAGAGAUGGCG